rnacentral:rRNA from 1 species
GGGGGCCCGCACAAGCGGUGGAGCAUGUGGUUUAAUUCGAUGCAACGCGAAGAACCUUACCUACUCUUGACAUCCAGAGAACUUUCCAGAGAUGGAUUGGUGCCUUCGGGAACUCUGAGACAGGUGCUGCAUGGCUGUCGUCAGCUCGUGUUGUGAAAUGUUGGGUUAAGUCCCGCAACGAGCGCAACCCUUAUCCUUGUUUGCCAGCGAGUAAUGUCGGGAACUCCAGGGAGACUGCCGGUGAUAAACCGGAGGAAGGUGGGGACGACGUCAAGUCAUCAUGGCCCUUACGAGUAGGGCUACACACGUGCUACAAUGGCGCAUACAGAGGGC